GCGAAGGUAGCGCAAUCACUUGUCUUUUAAAUGAAGACCCGUAUGAAUGGCAUAACGAGGGCUAAACUGUCUCCUUUUUCCAGUCAAUGAAAUUGAUCUCCCCGUGCAGAAGCGGGGCUAAACACAUAAGACGAGAAGACCCUGUGGAGCUUUAGACACCAGGUCAGACCUUAUUCAACCUCCCCCCUAAUAAAGGGAGCAGCCCAAGGGCCCUGCCCUUAUGUCUUCGGUUGGGGCGACCCCGGAGCACACAAAACCUCCGUACGGAAUAGGAGAACUUCUCCCACAGCCAAGAGUAGCCACUCCAAGAAAUAGAACUUCUAACCAAAGGAUCCGGCAAAGCCGAUUAACGAACUAAGUUACCCCAGGGAUAACAGCGCAAUCCCCUUUCAGAGUCCCUAUCGACAAGGGGGUUUACGACCUCGAUGUUGGAUCAGGACAUCCUAAUGGUGCAACCGCUAUUAAGGGUUCGUUUGUUCAACGAUUAAAGUCCUACGUGAUCUGAUUUCAGACCGGGGA
rnacentral:rRNA from 1 species